GGGCGAUGUGUUAGCGAGGAGACUGAGCCCCAAAGGAGGUGGAUUGAGGGGUCCCACAUCGAUUGGAGAAGGGAAAGAGUGCUAGCAAAGACACUGGUCCUUGAAGGGGGGUGGAUUGUGAGAUCCCACAUCGGUUGAAGAGGAGAAUGAAACAUUCCUUAUAGGUUGUCUGCCACUUUUGUAUACCAAACGUAUCGUUGGAGUAAUCGUGUAGUUCCUGCGGAGUGCAAACGAUGGGGCAAUCCAGAUCAUACGAGCUUAAAAGAGAAAGGCUGCAUAGGUCCACACGGAAAGAACUGUUUCUUGAAGUGGCAUAGGCGAAGAUGGAAUGGGGAAUAUAUCACAAGUCUAAAGAAGGUACACGGAUUUUUCUCAGUAGUGGAAAAUAUUAUCACAUAAAGUUAGAAUCCAAUAGCAAUAUAACAGUUGGCAGAAUCUCUAUCUCUCUGUAAUGUGAAAGGGUCAUAUGUAUAAGUAUGUUAAUGGUGAUUAUAUUUAAUCUGAUAAUGUUUAUAAGAUUUUCAAAGCAAUGGAGAUGUUGAAAGGUGGUGGUGGUAUUAGGAGUAGAAACAUAGAGCAUUGUUUCAGUGGUGGGAGCAGCCACCCACCACUGCAUGUAUUGACACUUUUUUAACUCAUAAAGCUCAAGAAAAAGUCUGCUUCACUAAAUGUUUGGUAGUAA